rnacentral:rRNA from 1 species
GUUGAACGCUGGCGGCAGGCUUAACACAUGCAAGUCGAACGAUGACUCUCUAGCUUGCUAGAGAUGACUAGUGGCGGACGGGUGAGUAACAUUUAGGAAUCUGCCUAGUAGUGGGGGAUAGCUCGGGGAAACUCGAAUUAAUACCGCAUACGACCUACGGGUGAAAGGGGGCGCAAGCUCUUGCUAUUAGAUGAGCCUAAAUCAGAUUAGCUAGUUGGUGGGGUAAAGGCCCACCAAGGCGACGAUCUGUAACUGGUCUGAGAGGAUGAUCAGUCACACCGGAACUGAGACACGGUCCGGACUCCUACGGGAGGCAGCAGUGGGGAAUAUUGGACAAUGGGGGCAACCCUGAUCCAGCCAUGCCGCGUGUGUGAAGAAGGCCUUUUGGUUGUAAAGCACUUUAAGCAGGGAGGAGAGGCUAAUGGUUAAUACCCAUUAGAUUAGACGUUACCUGCAGAAUAAGCACCGGCUAACUCUGUGCCAGCAGCCGCGGUAAUACAGAGGGUGCGAGCGUUAAUCGGAAUUACUGGGCGUAAAGCGAGUGUAGGUGGCUCAUUAAGUCACAUGUGAAAUCCCCGGGCUUAACCUGGGAACUGCAUGUGAUACUGGUGGUGCUAGAAUAUGUGAGAGGGAAGUAGAAUUCCAGGUGUAGCGGUGAAAUGCGUAGAGAUCUGGAGGAAUACCGAUGGCGAAGGCAGCUUCCUGGCAUAAUAUUGACACUGAGAUUCGAAAGCGUGGGUAGCAAACAGGAUUAGAUACCCUGGUAGUCCACGCCGUAAACGAUGUCUACUAGCCGUUGGGGUCCUUGAGACUUUAGUGGCGCAGUUAACGCGAUAAGUAGACCGCCUGGGGAGUACGGCCGCAAGGUUAAAACUCAAAUGAAUUGACGGGGGCCCGCACAAGCGGUGGAGCAUGUGGUUUAAUUCGAUGCAACGCGAAGAACCUUACCUGGUCUUGACAUAGUGAGAAUCUCUCAGAGAUGAGAGAGUGCCUUCGGGAACUCACAUACAGGUGCUGCAUGGCUGUCGUCAGCUCGUGUCGUGAGAUGUUGGGUUAAGUCCCGCAACGAGCGCAACCCUUUUCCUUAUUUGCCAGCGGGUUAAGCCGGGAACUUUAAGGAUACUGCCAGUGACAAACUGGAGGAAGGCGGGGACGACGUCAAGUCAUCAUGGCCCUUACGACCAGGGCUACACACGUGCUACAAUGGUAGGUACAGAGGGUUGCUACACAGCGAUGUGAUGCUAAUCUCAAAAAGCCUAUCGUAGUCCGGAUUGGAGUCUGCAACUCGACUCCAUGAAGUCGGAAUCGCUAGUAAUCGCGGAUCAGAAUGCCGCGGUGAAUACGUUCCCGGGCCU